rnacentral:rRNA from 1 species
ACUUAAUAACUAAACAAUAUAAAUAAAACAAAAUAAGCCUAACACCAAAAACUAAACCAUUUUUUUACCUGAGUAUGGGAGACAGAAAAGGUUCCACAAAGCGAUAGAAAUAGUACCGCAAGGGAAAGCUGAAAGAGAAAUGAAAUAACCCAUAUAAGCACUAAAAAGCAAAGAUUAAACCUCGUACCUUUUGCAUCAUGAUUUAGCCAGUACACCCAAGCAAAGAGACCUUUAGUUUGAAACCCCGAAACCAGGUGAGCUACCCCGAGACAGCCUAUUAAGGGCCAACCCGUCUCUGUGGCAAAAGAGUGGGAAGAGCUCCGGGUAGAAGUGACAGACCUACCGAACCUGGUGAUAGCUGGUUGCCUAAGAAAUGAAUAGAAGUUCAGCCUCGUGCACCUCAAAUCACACAAACAAAAUAAGACUUAAGAGAAACACAUGAGAGUUAGUUAAAGGGGGUACAGCCCCUUUAACAAAGGACACAACCUUUCCAGGAGGAUAAAGAUCAUAAUACAUAAAACAUACUGUUCUAGUGGGCCUAAAAGCAGCCAUCUAAACAGAAAGCGUUAAAGCUCAGACAGAAAAAAGUUUAUUAUCCCGAUAAAAAAUCUUACUCCCCUAAGUACUAUUAGGCCAACCCAUGCCCCCAUGGAAGAGAUUAUGCUAAAAUGAGUAACAAGAAGGCCCGCCCUUCUCCAAGCACAAGUGUAAGCCAAACCGGACCAACCAUUGGCAACUAACGAACUCAAUCAAAGAGAGCAAUGUGAAUUACAAAAAAACCAAGAAAAAUCCACAACUAAGCUAUCGUUACCCCCACACUGGAGUGCCCUAAAGGAAAGACUAAAAGAAAAGGAAGGAACUCGGCAAACACAAGCCUCGCCUGUUUACCAAAAACAUCGCCUCCUGCAACGCAACCAAGUAUAGGAGGUCCAGCCUGCCCAGUGACUACAAGUUCAACGGCCGCGGUAUUUUGACCGUGCAAAGGUAGCGCAAUCACUUGUCUUUUAAAUAGAGACCUGUAUGAAUGGCUAAACGAGGGCUUAACUGUCUCCCCUUUCAAGUCAGUGAAAUUGAUCUACCCGUGCAGAAGCG